rnacentral:rRNA from 1 species
UACAGAGGGUGCAAGCGUUAAUCGGAAUUACUGGGCGUAAAGCGUGCGUAGUCGGUUAUUUAAGUCGGGUGUGAAAGCCCCGGGCUCAACCUGGGAAUUGCAUUCGAUACUGGAUAGCUAGAGUUCGGCAGAGGGAAGCGGAAUUUCCGGUGUAGCGGUGAAAUGCGUAGAUAUCGGAAGGAACAUCAGUGGCGAAAGCGGCUUCCUGGUCCAGCACCGACGUCAGGCACGAAAGCGUGGGGAGCAAACAGG